CUGCCGUAUACUGGGGGAUAACACUUAGAAAUAGGUGCUAAUACCGCAUAAGCGCACAGCUUCGCAUGAAGUGGUGUGAAAAACUCUGGUGGUAUACGAUGGUUCCGCGUCUGAUUAGCUUGUUGGUGGGGUAAUGGCUCACCAAGGCGACGAUCAGUAGCCGGCCUGAGAGGGUGAACGGCCACAUUGGGACUGAGACACGGCCCAAACUCCUACGGGAGGCAGCAGUGGGGAAUAUUGCACAAUGGGGGAAACCCUGAUGCAGCGACGCCGCGUGAGUGAAGAAGUAUUUCGGUAUGUAAAGCUCUAUCAGCAGGGAAGAAAUAGCGACCUUUGGGUCGCCAGACGGUACCUGAUUAAGAAGCCCCGGCUAACUACGUGCCAGCAGCCGCGGUAAUACGUAGGGGGCAAGCGUUAUCCGGAUUUACUGGGUGUAAAGGGAGCGUAGACGGCAGCACAAGUCUGAAGUGAAAUGCCGGGGCUUAACCCCGGAACUGCUUUGGAAACUGUGCAGCUAGAGUGCAGGAGAGGUAAGUGGAAUUCCUAGUGUAGCAGUGAAAUGCGUAGAUAUUAGGAGGAACACCAGUGGCGAAGGCGGCUUACUGGACUGUAACUGACGUUGAGGCUCGAAAGCGUGGGGAGCAAACAGGAUUAGAUACCCUGGUAGUCCACGCUGUAAACGAUGA
rnacentral:rRNA from 1 species